GACGAACGCUGGCGGCGUGCUUAACACAUGCAAGUCGAACGGAAAGGCCCUGCUUUUGUGGGGUGCUCGAGUGGCGAACGGGUGAGUAACACGUGAGUAACCUGCCCUUGACUUUGGGAUAACUUCAGGAAACUGGGGAUAAUACCGGAUAGGAGCUCCUGCUGCAUGGUGGGGGUUGGAAAGUUUCGGCGGUUGGGGAUGGUCUCGCGGCUUAUCCGCUUGUUGGUGGGGUAGUGGCUUACCAAGGCUUUGACGGGUAGCCGGCCUGGGAGGGUUACCGGCCACAUUGGGACUGAGAUACGGCCCAGACUCCUACGGGAGGCAGCAGGGGGGAAUAUUGCACAAUGGGCGGAAGCCUGAUGCAGCAACGCCGCGUGCGGGAUGACGGCCUUCGGGUUGUAAACCGCUUUCGCCUGUGACGAAGCGUGAGUGACGGUAAUGGGUAAAGAAGCACCGGCUAACUACGUG
rnacentral:rRNA from 1 species